AUAAAGGCCGAGCUACAAACUUGAAUCUCUGUAUAGAUUCCAGUAUGCAUAGUUUUCUGCAUGAAGCAGAGUCUCCUCCUUUCUCACUUCCCUCUGCUGUCCUCUCAUUUAUUGUGUCCGUCCUGAAGUAGCCCAGGCAUUGUUUAAUCCAGAUGGCGUAAUCACAACCUUUUUGCUGUGUCUUCCUCUUCCUAUUCAUACAGCCUCCUAUUAAUAUCCUGAUCCCUCACUAUCCUGUCAGCAAGUAAGACUCGAACAAACAGUGGGACAAAAGAGGAGAGGGAGAGGAGGGAAGAAAAAGGAAAAAAAGUAGGGGAUCCCCAACAUGAAGAACAACAGGAUGGAGAAGAGCAUGUCAUACGGUCAAUUACGGGCAGGAGGAUCUCUGCGUCCAGAGAGAGGAGAGGGUUGAGUUCCGGACUGAGGAAAAGCAAGUCCACCGUCAACCACUUUCACAGACGCCUUAUUUACUGCUCUGGAAGAGCAGCUUUACAGCUCUGUGAUUCAGCCAUUUGUGACUGCAAAUGGGACUCAAAGGAAAACAAAGACUUCAAAAGAGCAAGACAAAGAGCUUCUGUUCAUCAUCAUGUCACUCACACCAGAGGGCAGGAUUUACACGCGUGAAUUUUUACACCUCUCACUCGUGUUAGACGGAUGACGCUUAAUUUCCGAUGUUUUAAAAGCGAUAAUAAACAGCUGUUACCCGUAAUCACUGAUGGCUGUGUUUUACCCACUGUAAAGAACUCAGAAUGAGAAAUCUGAAGAUUUCAGAAUUGCUAUUGUUUGCAAUGACAGCAUUGCACUGUGGGACAUCAAAAGACAUGGACUUUAUUACGGGUAACUGUAAUGAUACCAUCAGACUUCCUUGUAAAGCUACUGACCGAACUAGCACUUACCGUUACGUAAUGUGGUAUAAAAAAGAGAGUUUUCCUAUCAUCAAGAGGAAAAAAGAAGAAUAUACAUACUAUAAUAACAUAACAUCUGUUUCUCUGGAAAAUAAAGAGACCCUGGUGUUACAUAAUGUGCAGUCUUCAGACUCUGGAGAAUAUAAAUGCUACCUGGCUGCAGAGGUUGGAGGUCGAAAUGACCAUUCUUUAAUUGGAUUGAAUAUCUCAGAAUGUUUAAAUGUGAGCACAGUUUAUCCCAUCAACACCAUGACCCCUUCUGAUUCUUGUCCUACUGUAGCAGAAUUAACUGUUCCCUGGGCUGUCAUUGGCUUUUCUUUUAUCAGCGUGACCAAAGUCAUUCUUUGCAUUAUAACUGUGGGGGUGAGUAUAAUAUCAGUCCCAAUCAGUCAAUCAAAGACCCACAAAGAUUUCCAGGAAACAAACUGCACUGUAUUUUUCACACAAACAUCAAACAAAUUAAAUUAG
rnacentral:lncRNA from 1 species